UACGUAGGGGGCAAGCGUUGUCCGGAUUUAUUGGGCGUAAAGCGCUCGCAGGCGGCUCGAUGCGUCGUGCGUGAAACACCCCGGCUCAACUGGGGAGGGUCGUGCGAUACGGUCGGGCUGGAGGCCAGUAGGGGGAUGCGGAAUUCCGGGUGUAGUGGUGGAAUGCGUAGAGAUCCGGAGGAACACCAGCGGCGAAGGCGGCAUCCUGGACUGGUACUGACGCUCAUGAGCGAAAGCGUGGGGAGCAAACAGG
rnacentral:rRNA from 1 species